rnacentral:lncRNA from 1 species
AAGAGUGCCACGUUUACGGUGAAAUCAAAGCAACCCCAGGUGUGCGUCAUCACACCGCACCUGGAAAUUAUGACAGUUAUGAUGAAUGAGGAUGAUACAGCAAAGCCAGCACCGACAAGAAGACCCUCCCGGGGUGACAACACCUGGAUCUAGAUCUCUUCUCCCUUCACGAUAGACUGCUCACAGGCGUUUUCCUUCUGACUUGCCAAACAGAAGCAACAGCAAUUAAAUGAGUAUAAAAAGACCA